CAGGACGAACGCUGGCGGCGUGCCUAAUACAUGCAAGUAGAACGNCUGAAGAGAGGAGCUUGCUCUUCUUGGAUGAGUUGCGAACGGGUGAGUAACGCGUAGGUAACCUGCCUGGUAGCGGGGGAUAACUAUUGGAAACGAUAGCUAAUACCGCAUAAAAUUGAUUAUUGCAUGAUAAUUAAUUGAAAGAUGCAAUUGCAUCACUACCAGAUGGACCUGCGUUGUAUUAGCUAGUUGGUGAGGUAACGGCUCACCAAGGCGACGAUACAUAGCCGACCUGAGAGGGUGAUCGGCCACACUGGGACUGAGACACGGCCCAGACUCCUACGGGAGGCAGCAGAAGGGCGAAUUCGU
rnacentral:rRNA from 1 species